UACGUAGGGGCAAGCGUUGUCCGGAUUUAUUGGGCGUAAAGAGCGUGUAGGCGGCUUUACAGGUCCGUUGUGAAAACUCGAGGCUCAACCUCGAGACGCCGGUGGAAACCGUAAAGCUAGAGUCCGGAAGAGGAGAGUGGAAUUCCUGGUGUAGCGGUGAAAUGCGCAGAUAUCAGGAAGAACACCCGUGGCGAAAGCGGCUCUCUGGAACGGUACUGACGCUGAGACGCGAAGCGUGGGGAGCGAACAGG
rnacentral:rRNA from 1 species